CGAGCAUUCGUGAUCAAUCGGAGCGAAUCAGCUGUCGGUGGCCUAUUUUGUGGUCGGCCGACUCAUCAAUCAGAGACAGGCAACAGCCGGACCCGAAGUAAAACAACAAUCGUGGGAAAAAACUGAAAUACGAUGACACAUGUUUCGCAAAUUUUCAAUUCCUUUCAAGACCACUUGAAUAGUGAGCAAGAGCUACGAGAGGCAAUUCGUGUGAUAGUGAAGGAUACUGAGAAGAUAGCACGAGAUAUAGUCAUAAUACUUCAGAAUAUUCACAAUGAACAUGGGAAGGAGGAGGAUCAAACGGUCUCUCAAAACUGUGCCAAAGCCAGGGAACUCUUCUCCACUGUAAGACCCCAGUAUGAUAAACUGGCUCAAAUCAUUCCAAAGGACCAGUAUUACAGAUUCAACGAUUUAUGGAAAUAUGUCACGCAGCGUCUGUGUUUCCUGGCAGCCCUCACAGUUUAUUUGGAAGUCAAAAUACUCGUAACGAAGGAAACAGUUGCAGAUAUUCUCGGGGUAAAAAAUAAUCGCGAUGAAGGUUUCCAUCUCGAUUUGGAGGAUUAUCUAAUGGGAUUGCUCCAAUUAUCAGCAGAAUUGAGCCGUUUUGCAGUAAACAGUGUGACAUCUGGAGAUUACAAUCGUCCGAUAGAAAUCGCACGUUUUAUCAACGAAUUAAACGCCGGAUUUCGGUUAUUGAAUCUAAAGAAUGAUAAUUUACGUAAGCGUUUCGAUGCUCUGAAAUAUGAUGUUAAGAAAGUCGAGGAAGUCGUGUAUGAUUUGAGCAUUCGUGGACUGAAACCAACGACACCAGCAGUUAAUGAUACUACAUAGACCGAUUGUCGACCAACUCAACUGGUCUUCGAGGCUCAGGUUCCAUGUAAAAUACCAUCAGCAGCAUUUAUUUUCUUCUGAGAUUCAGGUUAGAAUAAAUAGAGUCACAAAGAAUAGAGUCAACCUGGGAGAAUUGUGAAGCAAUGAAUGUGAAAACUCGCUUUGGAUUGUGGUCAAAUGAUUUAUUCAAACAACCUCAUUUUUUUAAGUAACCGCCCCAUGAUAAUUUUCCAAAAUGUACAGGUAUUUCUCAAAUAUAUGAAAAUAUGAUUUCAUGAUUGAAAA